CCACGAGGGAACGCUGUAGUGGCGUCAUCACAUCCAUUCACUGGGCAAGCAUGGCGGCUAAGCAUCAGAGAGGCCCAGUGUAAACAAACCCGUACAACGAGCUUGCAGUGCGCGACGUAGUGAUCAGGCUCGACGAUGGCCACUAUUUCUUGGAUAGUUCUGUUCCUCCGUGGGCAAUCUUCCCGUGCACCCGGUAAGACUGCCAAUAGCUUCGGCGAUUUUACAGAUCGCAACGCGCACCUACUGUUCACGGCGAAGUGCUGAAGAAACAACUUGUCCGGUGCUGCUUCUGCGAGUGCGCCGAGUUCCUCCACUCUGCGUGACUGCGAGCGUCACGAACAUUACAUAGUGUGGGCAAAAGGCAGACAUCCUAUAUAGCUGCGAUGCGAAAAGGAGGUGGUACCGACGAUGGAUCUCGCUACCAACACAGUGAAGGAGACAUCGACAAACUGCAGAUAACAAAACAUUCUGCUGCUGGAGGCACUCAACCGCCUGGUGGCAGUAGGCGAGCGCCAGGCACGUGCUCUUGAGAGUGUGGCAGAGGUCCAGAGGGCUGCUCUGCAACAGUAGUAUUGGUGCCCUCACUGCUCUCCUGUCGAGCCCACAGAAGGCACCUUAUAAAGGAGCUUUCAGUUUAAUAUUUUGUUUAUUAUUCAAGAACAUGAAUAAAAUUAUUGCAGUAAA
rnacentral:lncRNA from 1 species